GAAAAGAAUCUCUUCAUUUUAAGUGUGACCUGAAGAUAGAGUGAGCUUCCUGCUGCACGGAGUCACUAUAGAGCCCAGAAGAAAGAACACCAAAAGAGAAGUUUUUUAAAAAGAAAAGAAAAGGAAAAGG
ensembl:lncRNA novel transcript